UGCAAAGAACCCCAUUGUCUCUGAUAAAAUGCAGAAGCAGCAGUAGCAGGUGUCUUCAAUAUCUUCUGCCACAAUGAGAAUUACCACUGUAACAACAACCAUGAAGAAGACCAGACGUAAAGGUACCACCAGAUUUCUCUGUUGGAGUUAGCACACCGAAAAUGGCUCUCACCAACUCAUGUAUUCUACCCAACAAGCCCUUGGUUCAUCAUCACCGGUCCUUCUGUUCUCAUUAAAUGGAGGUAGUCGGUCCUCCCCGUCUCUGCCUUUAACUCUGUCAACCUUGCGAAAAACUCCGUUGUCUUGUAUAAAUUGUAGAAGCAGCAACAACGAGUGUCUUUAUCAUCUUCGGCCAUGAUGAAAAUUGCCAUAGUGGAUGAAGGUCGAACGAGCAAGGAACCAAAAAGGGUACGGUGAGCCUGAUUGUCAUUGAGAAGGAAGAGGAAGCUCUAGUGAGAAAAAGGAUUUUGAGUUUGGGGAUUUAGAUUUCUCUAUUAAAAUCUUAAACUGAUUCAAAGUUUUAUUUGUGGAAGAGUUUAAAUUGAUUCACAUUUAAAUUUUUUAAUACCGUGUCAAAUAUUACAUAACAUUU
rnacentral:lncRNA from 1 species